rnacentral:rRNA from 1 species
GAUGAACGCUAGCGGCAGGCUUAAUACAUGCAAGUCGAGGGGCAGCGCGGGUAGCAAUACCUGCCGGCGACCGGCAAACGGGUGCGGAACACGUACACAACCUUCCUUAAGUGGGGGAUAGCCCAGAGAAAUUUGGAUUAAUACCCCAUAACAUUAAUGAGUGGCAUCAUUUAUUAAUUAAAGCCUUGGCGCUUAGAGAUGGGUGUGCGUCUGAUUAGGUAGUUGGUAGGGGUAACGGCCCACCAAGCCUGCGAUCAGUAACUGGUGUGAGAGCACGACCAGUCACACGGGCACUGAGACACGGGCCCGACUCCUACGGGAGGCAGCAGUAAGGAAUAUUGGUCAAUGGACGCAAGUCU